CUACCGCGUUACUAAUAAUGUCUUGACUUUUCCCCAAAAUUUACUAUUUGUAAUAAUGGUCAUAACUCAAUUGUUUUUAGUGGUGAUUAUGCUGGGGCUCUAGUAAAUUAUGAGAAAGGCAUUACAAAUGAUCCAAAGACUACAGCUCAUGAUGACUUGUGUGUGGCUGGAAUGGCAAGAACAUCACUUUAUACUGGUGACAUGAGAAGGGGAUUAAAAUUAGCUCAUGCUAGUCCUGAUAAACAA